UAACACGUAGAUACCAACCCCUUUCACGAGCAUAAUCCGCCGAAAGGCGGACUAAUUCCCGACGGUCCCUUACGGGUAAAGCCCUGACGUUACGUCAGGGCGGAAAGGGAUGGGUCUGCGGCCUAUCAGCUAGUUGGUGAGGUAAUGGCCCACCAAGGCGAUGACGGGUAGGGGGUGUGAGAACACGGCCCCCAAGAAUGGUACUGCGACACGGACCAUACUCCUACGGGAGGCUGCAGUCGAGAAUCUUCGACAAUGGGCGAAAGCCUGAUCGAGCGACGCCGCGUGAGCGAAGAAGGACUUCGGUCUGUAAAGCUCUUUUCUAGGGGAUGAAUCCGCCGCAAGGCGGAUGACAGUACCCUAGGA
rnacentral:rRNA from 1 species